UCCUACGGGAGGCAGCAGUGGGGAAUUUUGGACAAUGGGCGAAAGCCUGAUCCAGCAAUGCCGCGUGUGUGAAGAAGGCCUUCGGGUUGUAAAGCACUUUUGUCCGGAAAGAAAUCCUUGGCUCUAAUACAGUCGGGGGAUGACGGUACCGGAAGAAUAAGCACCGGCUAACUACGUGCCAGCAGCCGCGGUAAUACGUAGGGUGCGAGCGUUAAUCGGAAUUACUGGGCGUAAAGCGUGCGCAGGCGGUUUGCUAAGACCGAUGUGAAAUCCCCGGGCUCAACCUGGGAACUGCAUUGGUGACUGGCAGGCUAGAGUAUGGCAGAGGGGGGUAGAAUUCCACGUGUAGCAGUGAAAUGCGUAGAGAUGUGGAGGAAUACCGAUGGCGAAGGCAGCCCCCUGGGCCAAUACUGACGCUCAUGCACGAAAGCGUGGGGAGCAAACAGGAUUAGAUACCCUGGUAGUCCACGCCCUAAACGAUGUCAACUAGUUGUUGGGGAUUCAUUUCCUUAGUAACGUAGCUAACGCGUGAAGUUGACCGCCUGGGGAGUACGGUCGCAAGAUUAAAACUCAAAGGAAUUGACGGGGACCCGCGCAAGCGGUGGAUGAUGUGGAUUAAUUCGAUGCGACGCGAAAAACCUUACCUACCCUUGACAUGGUCGGAAUCCCGCUGAGAGGUGGGAGUGCUCGAAAGAGAACCGGCGCACAGGUGCUGCAUGGCUGUCGUCAGCUCGUGUCGUGAGAUGUUGGGUUAAGUCCCGCAACGAGCGCAACCCUUGUCCUUAGUUGCUACGCAAGAGCACUCUAAGGAGACUGCCGGUGACAAACCGGAGGAAGGUGGGGAUGACGUCAAGUCCUCAUGGCCCUUAUGGGUAGGGCUUCACACGUCAUACAAUGGUCGGAACAGAGGGUUGCCAACCCGCGAGGGGGAGCUAAUCCCAGAAAACCGAUCGUAGUCCGGAUUGCACUCUGCAACUCGAGUGCAUGAAGCUGAAAUCGCUAGUAAUCGCGGAUCAG
rnacentral:rRNA from 1 species